rnacentral:rRNA from 1 species
AGAUACCCCACUAUGCCUGAGAAUAACCCAUGACAAACUCCACUUAUUUGUUCGCCAGAAGAUUACGGGUGAAAGCCUAAAACUCAAAAGACUUGACGGUAUUCCACCUACCUAGAGGAGCCUGUUCCAUAAUCGAUAACCCACGCUUAACCUGACCACCUCUUGAAAAAUCAGCCUAUAUACCGCCGUCACCAGCUUAUCUCUUGAAAGCCCGAACAUAAGCAUAAUAGUAACAUACUAAAAAGUCAGGUCAAGGUGUAGCCUAUGAGGUGGUGGUAAUGGGCUACAUUAUCUACCUAAGAUGCGCGAAUUCUGCCCUGAACCACGGGGCUAAUGAAGACGGAUUUAGUAGUAAACCAGACAAGAAAAUCUAGUUCAACGCAGCCCUGGAACAUGUACACACCGCCCGUCA